rnacentral:rRNA from 1 species
CUCUAGGGAGACUGCCGGUGACAAACCGGAGGAAGGUGGGGAUGACGUCAGGUCAUCAUGGCCCUUACGGCCAGGGCUACACACGUGCUACAAUGGUGCGCACAGAGGGCUGCAAACCCGCGAGGGGGAGCCAAUCUCACAAAACGCAUCGUAGUCCGGAUCGCAGUCUGCAACUCGACUGCGUGAAGUCGGAAUCGCUAGUAAUCGUGAAUCAGAAUGUCACGGUGAAUACGUUCCCGGGCCUUGUACACACCGCCCGUCACACCAUGGGAGUGGAUUGCACCAGAAGUGGUUAGUCUAACCUUCGGGAGGACGAUCACCACGGUGUGGUUCAUGACUGGGGUGAAGUCGUAACAAGGUAACCGUA